GACGCGGGGUCAGCGGCUCAGAGCGCGGCUGUGUGGGGCUGCGGGGCUCCCGCCAUGCCCGCUGGGGUAGGUCCUGCAGACCCCGGCCACUGGAGCCACUCAUCAUUUCCGACGGAUGCGCCGGAGGGGCCGCCGGCCGCCCCAGCCAGGGUCUCGGUAGCCUGCAAGGAGAGAAAGAGGUGGGAGCAGCCCGCGCGGGGCCCUGCGUCUUGCAUAGGCGCUUCUGGUAAAAUCACUCCUUUAUCUCAGAUAAUGAGUUGGCGCUGGAUCGCUGCGUCCUCAGAUGGGGCUCGAAUCGUGACUUUUAGAGAAAUAGGUUUUCUUUUUUUUUUUUUUUUUUUUUUUUUUAAACAACCUGGGGUUUAAAGGCCGCGGAAUUGGAAGCAGUCGUCACCCGGAGGCCUGGGCGUGCAAGCACCGAAGCUCUGGCUGGCCCUGAGCCUCCCCACCCCACCCGCUCUUUUCGCUUGAACGCGUGUACUUUGGGCAGUUGCUGACGUGGAGACAGGACGUUAUGUCUUCAUAUUUUAGUAAAACCCAAUGCCCUCUGCCUCUCUGAUUAUGUUCUUUAAGUUAUCGCCAGUUCCCAUUUGUAUUUCUUGGAAACGGUUGGGUCUUCCCUCACUUUUCAGUAUUUUCAUGCAGACUCAAAUACUCUGGAUUAAUAUUUGUAUUUGCCCAAACCAUCACGAGCACCUCUAACCCUGAUAGGCAGUACUUCAGUGUGCUGCAUUCUGGCCACAGAGCAAACAGGGUGCUCCCAGGCACUGCCCUCUCGGAUUUCUUGCCUUGUUAUUUAAUCAUUAAGAUCGUGACCUAUGAGCAGGACUGUUUCCAGCCAGCACAUACACACGUCCUCUCCUGGCCAGCAUCCAUGCUGAUUAGGCGGUGCCCCUGCCAUACUAGCUGCCUAAUAUUUCAGAUACCCCACCCCGUGUGUGUGUGUAAAUCAUGUCACUGCCCUCUUUGUAGCUAAUGACAAAAUUCCAAGAGUCACCAUUAGCCUAGCACAUUAUGCCUGUCUCAUUUCUGCCCACUUUGGAGCACUCGGCUUCUCUGCUGUCUGUUUUCCUCCUGAGCACACUGAAACAUUGCCAUAGCACAGCAGGGCAUAGAAGACAGGCUCAUGCUCCCCUGGACGCUCAGGCCUUCACCUCGGGCACACUAGGUCUUGUCAUUCCAUGUCAAGAAUAGCUCUUCACUGCCCUCACCCACCCAAGAAUGGCUAAAAUUAAAAGGACUGACAAUACCUAGUUUGUCGAGGAUGUCACAGCUGGAACCCUCAUACAUGGCUCAUGAAAUUGAUAAAACCACAUUGGCAAACUGGUAGUAUUUACAAAACCUAAACAUAUGAAUACCUGGUGACCAACUAAUUCCUCAACUCACCCAAGAGAAAUGAGAGCUUAUGUGUACCAGAAGACAUGAACAAAACUACCCACAGCAGCUUUCUUCCUGAUGGCCCCAAACUGGAAAUGAUCCAGAUGUCCAUCCAUAGGAAAAAAAGAUUUUAAAAAGAAAGUAUGGCAUGUUCACAGAGAGGAAAUUCUGUACAACAGUGGAAAAGGGCACACAACCACAACCCACAACAAUGUGGAUGAAGCGUACAAUGAAGUCAGACCCCAGAAUGUACAGACAAUUCCAUGUGUGUGAUGUUCAAAACCAGGAAAGCAAAUCCAUCAUGACACAGGCUGGGGAUGUGAAGGAAACUCCAGCCACCCUGCCCCUGUGUUCUGAGUAACAAGGCCUAGAUCCCAAUCCUUGCUCUGCCUCUUAUCAGAGACAGGUAUCAGACAAGUUGCCUAACUUUCCUGAGCUUCAGUUUUAUGUCUAAAAUAAGGAUAACCAUAGAACCAAUCCCAAGGAAGUUUCAGAAGAUCAAAUAUGAAAGAGCAUGAAAAGUGCCUAAAAACCAGGGACUGUCAUGGUAGCUCACAUCUGUAAUCCCAGCACUUUGGGAGGCCAAGGUGGGAAGAUCUCUUGAGCCCAGGAGUUUGAGACCAGCCUUGGCAACAUAGUGAGAUCUCAUCUCUGCAAAAAAUUUAAAAAUUAGGCAUGGUGGCACAUGCCUGUGGUCCCAGCUACUUGGGAGUUUGAGGUGGGAGGAUCACUUAAGCCCAGGGGGUUGAGGAUGUAAUGAGCCAUGAUUCCAUCCAGCCCAGGUGACAGGGCCAGACCCUGUCUCAAGGAAAAAAAAAAAGCCAGACACAGAGUCCAGCACACGUCAGUUUGUGACGUGAGUGUGCUUCAGGCUGGAAGUUUGGCCACUACCACUGCCUGUUCUAGGCUUUUGUUUCCAAAGCCCCCAAGUAGAGGGAAAGAGGAGCAGAAUGAGAUCUUUGUGAACCCAAGGUAAUGGGGACCCAAGCCAAACCCACAGAACCUCCUUGAUCCCAGGGAGAGAGUUGCAGGUUCCUCCCAGAUCACACCUCCCCAGGCAGCCUAUACCCAGACAGAAGCAGGGUUCCUGGGCACAGUUGUGUGGUUUCUUCACUAAUCAAGGGUCCCUUGCCAAGAACACAAGUGAGGCUUGCAUUUAUCCUGUGCUCAGCUAACCAAGUCAUGCACCCCAGCCUGGGCCUUAGCCUGCUCCAAAGCAGCGCCAUAUGUGAACUUACACAGGAGCACCCUGGGCUAGUGGUGGCCCUGCAGAGAGGCCUGACACCUGAGCAGCAGAAGCUACCACCAGACCAGAGGGGACCAUCAACCUGGCUAGACAGGGCAGAGAAGCAGUGGGCCACUGAGGCAAACAGCCUCACUUUCACCUGCUAAUGGCUCCUUCCAACUGCGAGAGUUGCUCGACCCAUGUGUGGGGACAGCCAUCAGCAGUGACAGGGUGGGGUGAAUGUUCCAGCCACUCCACUCUGCAGUCAGGACAACUUCAGGACAUGUUCUGCACUGGCUCCUGGCAUCCCCCGCAGGAUGGCUCCAGCCGCCUAUGUCCUGACCUUCUUGGUCAUGCCUGUAGUUCCGCCUCCUGUUGUUCGAGGCCAUCCUGACUAACACGGUGAAACCCCGUCUCUACUGAAAAUACAAAAAAUUAGCCGGGCAUGGUGGUGCAUGCCUGUAGUCCCAGCUACUGGGGAGGCUGAGGCAGGAGAAUCACUUGAACCCGAGAGGCAGAGGUUGCAGUGGGCUGAGAUCAGGCCACUGCAUUCCAGCCUGGGCAACAGAGCGAGACCCUGUCUCAAAAAAAGAACACUGAGUACACCGUAAGGGAUGGCGAGGAUGUGGCACAGGGGUACUCCUUCAUCCGCUCGGGAAAAUGUGGCAGUUUCUCCUCUGAUGCAACAUGUGCUUAACAUGUGACACAGCAGUCCCACUUUUAGGUAUUUAAAGGAAUGAAAAUUUAUGUCCACACAAAAAAUCACACAGAUGUUUAUAGUGAUUUUAUUGAUAAAGUGUCUAACUGGAAACUGCAAAUAUUCUUUCUGGGGACACAGAUACAUUGUGGUGCCUCCACCCUGUGAAUCCUGCUCAGCAAUCCGAGGGAUGAGCAGUUGAUUCAGGCAACACCAUGGAUGGAUCUCAGGGCAUCGUGCUGAAGUCCCGCAUUCUUAGCAAGGUGCUGCUUCCUGCAGAUGGGCAAACACUGGUCCUUGGCAGGUGGAGAGGAAGACAGCUGAGGACACAGCAUCUCACUAGCCCCUCCUCACCCACCAGGUGCCAGGCCAGGUGUCACCUAAGCCAAGCAGCACACGACCGCCCCUGCCCACUUCCACCUCAGCCCUGACCCUCCCUGCACCUGGAAGUCCACUGCCUCCUGAUGUGUCUGUGAUCGGGGCAGCCCCAAGAGCACGUAUCCCGGGACAUGAUGUGUUGUGGUCUGUGUGGGGUCAGAGCCGUCAGUGUUCACUGCCGUGUCCCCAGUGCUUAGCACUGUUUGCCGCAUGGGAGGUGCAGGUCACAACCCGGUAGUGCCUAGUGGCCCGGGGGACACCUGGCUUGUCUGGGCCUGUUGGCUGACAGAUAGGAGGGACUGCCAUCCAUUGUUGGGGCAAAGGAUGCUGCUCAACCUCCCACAACGCAUGGAGCGGCCCGGCGCACAGACUCACCUGGCCCCAAACACCAACUGUGCCGAGGUGAUGCUCUGCCCCGAGGCGAGCGGACAAGGCUUGAGCAUCGAGAACACUGCAAGGGUCUCAGCCAGUGAGGGGCUGCCUGGGCCCCACCGCAGGCCUGACUCCUAGAGCCAAGCCGUUUUCUCCCUUGAGGCAGUGGGUAGGGCUCUCACAUGACGACCUUGGGUUUGCAGCUCGGCUGUGCACACACGUGGACCCUCCGUGCUUUGUCAGUUCCUACUGCUUGGCCCUGGGGCCGGAAGCUGCUUCUCAGGCCUCACUCUGAGAAGCAUCUUCGCACCCUGGGUAGGUCCAUUGCCUCUUUCCACCGACUCUGCUCCUUGACAAGGGCAUGUUCAUCAGCAGGGCCAGGCAGGGAGAGCUCAGGACAGCCAGACCUGGGGCCAGUUGCAUAGGUACGUGUGGGAAGGAGCACCAGUUGCCUGUCCUCCCUGCGGGCAGAGCCGUCUGUCCUCUGCAGACCUGCAGUUUCUGCAAACAUCCUGUAAGGAGCCAGGAAGCAGCAACUCCAGAUGCCCAGAGGAGCCCCAGCCAAGGCAGAUGCAGCCAGGGCAUCAGGCCGUGGGGCUGGGCAAGGUGAGCCACAGGCUGGAAAGGCAGGGGCGCACGGCAGAUGGGGAUGCGGAAGCCAGAUGCUGACCCAGCUCCACCCACAUUUGUGAGGGGCAUGGGGGCUGCGCCGUCAGAGGCCUUAGCUGGCUCCGGGUUUGAAAUGUGAGUCCCAGGAGCCCAAGUUUUAUUCCCACGUGGCCGCAGCGUGCCAGGCUUAGCCUCCCUGUGUUUCUGUAAAACAGCACCCUCGUGUUUUUAUAUGAGAACCGAAUUCAAGGUACUAGAAGUCCUCAUAUGGGAAGGGAAAAGUCGUGGUUUUAUAAGCAAUACACUCUGGCUGAGCCCAAGUUAAGAUUUCCAGUCCAAGUUCAUCAGCGCCCAGCUUCAGCCGGGACUGCUCUGGCCCCACUGCUGUGUGAGCUGGCGCUUCUGAUUCCACCCCACACUCGGUGAAAGGGUCCCAGAACAACUGACACUGAGCGUCACCGGCGGCGGCUCUUCCUAGAGGAGCAUGUUUGGGAGAGGUGAGGCUGCGGGGCUGGGGCCCUGGGCUAAUACUCCCUGGCUGUGUGACCCUGGGCAGAUUACUCAGCCUCUCUGAGCUGCUGCUUCCUCUCCUGUGGAGUGGGCUGAUCCCAGCCACACGAGCACCCCUGGUUGUUCCGUGGUUAAUGUCUGCCAAACACAGUGCCAUGGAGAAUACCCAGCAGAGCCCAGCUGCUUGUUUGCUGGGGAGGGACAGCGCUGCAGGGGCGCCUCCCCCUGGCCCUCCAGCACCUUUCCACCUUGCUUCCAGGACCUCCGUGGCUCAGAGGCAGUGCAGGUGGGCUUCAGCGACGGCAGGGAGGGCCCACGCCGGCACACAAGAAGGGAAGGCGCCAGGGAUCGCACCCCUCAGGAAGAAGAGGGACAGAGGCAAAGAUAGGAAGGACACGCAUUGUGCCUUCUGUCACUUGGGGAUUUUCAAGUCAAAAUGGGGAGGGGGCUGGGGUAGGUCCAAAUGGCAUUUUGUUUCACAUUGCUGGCUGGGGGCAAGCCCUCUGCAGUGACCCUAAAUGCCCACUAGAGGUCACACCGCAAAAAGGGACCUCCCCUAAGGAGAGGGGACAAACGGAGGACCCUGGGCACCCAGCCUCCUGCAAGGGGAGGAAGGAUGAAGCCCCGCCAUCCAUCGGGUGGGGAAAGCGCCAUGCCUCCGGCAGCACAGCCAAGCGGCCCCCAGAGGGAGGAGUGAACUCCAUAUGGGCCCAGGUGACCCGGCCACAACACCCUCUCGGCCUCCGCCUCACCUGCUGGUGUUGGGCAUGGCCAGCCUGGGCAGCCACCAGCCCUCGCUGCCCAUCUGCUGUCCCCUCAACCCCAGCAGCAGACAGAAAAGUGCAGGGUCUGAGCCCCCGGGGGGACGAUGGUGUCGGACAGAUCCCUGGAGAACAAAGCCUGUGCCCUUGUGUCUGUGAGGCUGCGGCACCCAGGCCCGGAGCAGGUCCCCCCAGCUGGGCCAUCCCCGCUCUCGGAGCAAGAGGGGAACUGCAGCAGGCAGCAGCCUUCUACUCAUUCCCCAUGACCUGAUUUUUUUUUCAUUUUAAAAUAAAAUAUGUAAGAGAAACGUAUGAAAGACGCCACAUUUAGUCCCUUAUCAGAUCCACACUUCCCCCUGUGACCUGGGAAAUCGGGGUGCGUCUCCAGUCUGUGGGGUGCAGGGUCUCGUCCAGACAGGAGGCUGCAUGGUGCUGCUUGUAGCGAGUGACUCCUUUGUGGUUGGCACGCCCAGUGCAGCUGAGGAUGACCCCGUGGCUUGGUCCCGGGACAGGACCCAGGCCCCACAGAAAGGCCUGGAAAUAGCAGCAAACCUUAGAGAAGGAAACACCCACCACCGGGGACCUACGAUCCCCUGCUCUCCCCGGAGAAAGAAACACCCACCGCCAGGGACCCACGAUCCCCUGCUCUCCCUGGAGGGCACCCAGGAAGCAGCCGCAGCUGGCAGGCUAUGCGGCAACCCUGAGACCAGUGGAGAUGGCAGUGGGUGGGCCUGCAGGUCACUGCCUCUGGGCACUGUGUCCUGUCUGAGGGGCUUGUUUCUGAACCACACAGAAAAGAGGGGGGGUCUCGUAAUCCACGGUAUCAGGAUCAACAGGUGAACAGACGCUAGUUCUGCCAUGCGACCCUUACUCUUUUUAAAGCAAAACAGAGCUGAAGUUCUACCCUCCGACACCCCUAGAAGUGACCACACCAUUCCCACGCGUAUCUUCAGCUUUUCCCCACACAUGAAUUGAUAAAAAUUAAGUAUCUGCAUUUUUACAUGUUACACCAAUACCAUCUCUCACUUGUUUUGCAAUGGAACAAGGCUGUGUGCCCGUCUGCCAGGUAACAGCAUGGGUGGCUCCACCGUAGUCCACCCGCCUCCUUCCGGCCUGUGACAAUUGUCACAGUGUAGCAAUGAACAUCCCUGCGUGGCCCAUACCCAGUCUCUCGCGUUGCCCUAGGGUGGACACCUCAGGACGCAGAUGCCAGUCCCUGGGCCCGUGUCCUUAGUGCCAUGAGCUAGUACCAGCUGUCCCCAAAACAGCUGCCCCACCUGCGUUCCUGUUCCCCUGCAUCACUGCCAACACUUGGAAAAUCACACUUGCCAAUUUCUGCCAAUCGAGGGUGUACUUUGAGUGCAUUACCAUGGAAAACAUCCUGUUUCUACAAUUCCAAGCUAACAGCAUUAAUUAGCAGCAGUGAUUCACGGGGAGGCUGGGAUGAGAACGGGGGGUACUUUCACUGUCUAUGCUGAAGAACUGUUUACAAGAACAUAUUAGUUUAGUAAACAGAAAAGAAAGAUCAAUGAGAUCCUUAGUUCGUCUGCCUGGCUCUCAGCACAUUCUCUCCCAUAUCUGUCCUCGUUGCAGAUAAUGCAACUCACUUUGGCUUAAAUCUAAGAAAAUCUACUGGGGCCUGAACUCCUCUGGGUCCCUGGGUAGGGACUGGAGACACCUCUGAUGCCAGGUCAAAGGGAAGGACACAGGGACAACCACUGUCUGGGCUCCAAGGCAUCCCUUCAAUGCUCCCUUCUGUCAAUGCGGGAAAUCUGACACUUCGUCAAGAAGCUGGGAAGUCUGGGUUCCCAGGCCGACAGCUUGCAAGGCUUAAGGCUCUCGCCUCCGUCCGACUCAUAUUCCCAAAGAAAUCACAAAACACACAACAAGCCUUCAAAAACGGAUUUACUUGAAACUGUGAGGAGAAACAAGUGCACGGUUGCAGGUGGCGGCUGCCAGGAUUGCUCCGGUCCUACCCAGUGGGUGCCUACCCGGGCAGGGCACAGCUCCUGCUGCAAGGUCACCUUACCAGCGGGCGCAGAGGGGCUCAUGAUCAGAUGGCACAGCACUUUCCUAAUGCAGGCAGGCUACAUGGCCCCCAGGAACAACCAAAUGCAGAAUCAGGCCAAAACCCACACAGCCCUGACCCCCCUCGUGCUCUGGCUGGUCUCCCGGCCAGCAGCCCCUGAGGGCCGGCAGGCCACUGAGCUGUGGGUGACACAGGGUAGUCCACGGUUUGCACAGUCUCGUUCCCAUUCAAAGACAGGCCCCAAGGCUGGGCGCAGGGGCUUACGCCUGUAAUCCCAGCACUUUGGGAGGCCGAGGCGGGUGGAUCACCUGAGAUCGGGAGUUCGAGACCAACCUGAGCAACAUGGCAAAACUCCAUCUCUACAAAAACAAGUUAGCCAGGCGUGGUGGUGGUGGGUGCCUGUGGUCCCAGCUACUUGGGAGGCUAAGGCGGGCAGACAGCUUGAGCCUAGUAGGUUGAGGCCUCAGUGAGCCAUGAUCGCCCCUCUGCACUCCAGCCCAGGUGACAGAGCAAGACCCUGUCUCAAAAAACAACAAAAAAAGUACCAGCCGCAUGGAGACUAUCUGCUGCUUGCUUCUUCUCUAAAUAAUUACGGGGAUGAGGAGUCCAGUGAUGUUCCUGGUCUC